rnacentral:snRNA from 1 species
GUGCUCGCUUUGGCAGCACAUAUACUAAAACUGGAACGAUACAGAGAAGAUUAGCAUGGCCCCCUGCACAAGGAUGACACGCAAAUUCGUGAAGCGUUCCAUAUUUUU